AGUGAACGCUGGCGGCGUGCCUAAUACAUGCAAGUCGAACGAACGAAUAAGAGCUUGCUCUUAUAAGUUAGUGGCGCACGGGUGAGUAAUAUAUAGCUAAUCUGCCUCUUAGUAGAGGAUAACAGUCGGAAACGAUUGCUAAUACUCUAUACUUCUGCUUUACAUAAGUAAAGUAGAGAAAGUUUUUCGCUAAGAGAUGAGGCUAUACUGUAUCAGCUAGUUGGUAAGGUAACGGCUUACCAAGGCUAUGACGCAUAACUGGUCUGAGAGGAUGAUCAGUCACAUUGGAACUGAGUCACGGUCCAAACUCCUACGGGAGACAGCAGUAGGGAAUAUUGCGCAAUGGGGGAAACCCUGACGCAGCAACGCCGCGUGGAGGAUGACACUUUUCGGAGCGUAAACUCCUUUUAUCGGGAAAGAAUAAUGACGGUACCCGAUGAAUAAGCACCGGCUAACUCCGUG
rnacentral:rRNA from 1 species